UACGUAGGGUGCAAGCGUUAAUCGGAAUUACUGGGCGUAAAGCGUGCGCAGGCGGUGAUGUAAGACAGAUGUGAAAUCCCCGGGCUCAACCUGGGAACUGCAUUUGUGACUGCAUCGCUGGAGUGCGGCAGAGGGGGAUGGAAUUCCGCGUGUAGCAGUGAAAUGCGUAGAUAUGCGGAGGAACACCGAUGGCGAAGGCAAUCCCCUGGGUCUGCACUGACGCUCAUGCACGAAAGCGUGGGGAGCAAACAGG
rnacentral:rRNA from 1 species